ensembl:lncRNA
AUUUAUUCAUUCAUAUAUUCAUUCACAAUUAAAUCAAUUAAUUCAAAGUUAAUAAAAGAAUAAAUAAAGAAAAAAAUGAAAAUUUAAUAUGAAAUAUGUUGUUUAUAUAGGUAUAUAAUAGAAUAGUAAUAUAAAAUAUUUGUUUGUUUGCAGUCCUGACUCAUUUAAAGGAACUUUGCUCUUUUAAGUUUCAUACAGAGACCAUCACUUGAGAGGUCACCUCAACUUUUUUGAAUAAACGCAAUGACAAUCAAAUAUCACCCACCCCCAAACUCACCAUUUCAGCAGUGGGUGUGCUGGUUCACCUCAUGUAGGCAGAGAAAGUUUUGUUACAAGGAAAAAGGAGUGUUACAGAGCUGUUACAUGAGUGCAAAAAGGGCAUGUUAUGUAUUUGUUCCUCACAGACAGUGACAUCCAGAGAGUGUGAGAUGUACGGACACAUAACGAGUGAAAAAAGGCUGAGGGACCACACUGGAGAUUCAUCUAACCUGACACCCUUCUUCCCUCCAGCUCUUUAUUUCGCUCUGGUUGUUUGGACUGGAAGGUCACCCUGCCAGAAGCACUACGAUGAUGACAAACCCUGCAGAGGCAAACAUGUCAAGAGACUCAAGAACAUGAGGAUGACUAAAUGAGAAGAAAAAAAAAAUCACAUGGAAAGAAUGGUACAUGCUGUCAGACAGAUAUGGAAGGAAGGACAAUGGUGCGUCAGAGCAUCAGGGUGAGGAGAGAGCGUUCUGGAGGAGCUGUGUAAGCCUAUUAGUCUAAGUGGGGUAAAUCCAGCACUGCACGUGCGUUUGGCAAGAGCAGCCUGCAGGAACAACCCUCCCACCCUAACACCCAGAAAACUCUCCAGCAGCAGAGACAGAUUAAAGAUUCCUGAAGACAAAACAAACCACACACCGGACAGAAGGCAGAGGGAGGGAGCAAGAGGAAAAGCCCCUGAUAGAAGAGGAAACAUAAGAAGAUGAAGGGCAGAGAUGCCAUAUGAAAACUUUCUCUAACAAUAAACUUAAUACCCAGACAUAAUCGGUUGAAGGC